rnacentral:rRNA from 1 species
CCUACGGGGGGCAGCAGUGAGGAAUAUUGGUCAAUGGUCGGGAGACUGAACCAGCCAAGCCGCGUGAGGGAGGAAGGUACAGAGUAUCGUAAACCUCUUUUGUCAGGGAACAAAGGCGGGGACGUGUCCCCGGAUGAGUGUACCUGAAGAAAAAGCAUCGGCUAACUCCGUGCCAGCAGCCGCGGUAAUACGGAGGAUGCGAGCGUUAUCCGGAUUUAUUGGGUGUAAAGGGAGCGCAGGCGGGAAGCCAAGUCAGCUUUGAAAACUACGGGCUUAACUUGUAGACUGCAGUUGAAACUGGUUUU